CCUACGGGAGGCAGCAGUGGGGAAUAUUGCACAAUGGGGGAAACCCUGAUGCAGCGACGCCGCGUGAGUGAAGAAGUAAUUCGUUAUGUAAAGUUCUAUCAGCAGGGAAGAAAAUGACGGUACCUGAGUAAUAAGCACCGGCUAACUACGUGCCAGCAGCCGCGGUAAUACGGAGGGUGCAAGCGUUAUCCGGAUUUACUGGGUGUAAAGGGAGCGUAGACGGCAGUGCAAGUCUGGAGUGAAAGGCGGGAGCUCAACCCCAGGACUGCUCUGGAAACUGUACGGCUGGAGUGCAGGAGAGGUAAGUGGAAUUCCUAGUGUAGCGGUGAAAUGCGUAGAGAUGAGGAGGAACACUAGUUGCGAAGGCGGCUUACUGGACUGUAACUGACGUUGAGGCACGAAAGCGUGGGGAGCAAACAGGAUUAGAUACCCGUGUAGUC
rnacentral:rRNA from 1 species